rnacentral:rRNA from 1 species
UACAGGGGGUGCAAGCGUUGUUCGGAAUACUGGGCGUAAAGCGCGGGCAGGUGGCCUUUUAAGUCCUUUGUGAAAUCCCGGAGCUCAACUCCGGAUGUGCAUAGGAUACUGGAGGGCGUAGGGACUGGUAGAGGCGAGCGGAAUUCCUGGUGUAGCGGUGGAAUGCGUAGAUAUCAGGAAGAACAUCGGUGGCGAAGGCGCUCUGCUGGACCAUAACUGACACUCAGGGACGAAAGCUAGGGAGCGAAUGGG